UGCCAUGUAAGCUGAGCUGCGUCGGGCAGGCAGGGACAGCAAGAUGGUGUCACAGAGGCAGGUCCUCAUAUCCUUGUUGCUGUGGGUCUCAGGUGCCUGUGGGGCGAUCACGAUGACGCAGUCUCCAGGCUCCCUGGCUGUGUCUCUGGGUCAGCGCGUCACCUUGACCUGCAGGGCCAGUCAGAGUGUUAGCAGCUACCUAGCUUGGUACCAGCAGAAACCCGGGCAGCGUCCUAAGCUGCUCAUCUACCGUGCAUCCAACCGGGCAUCUGGAGUCCCCGACCGAUUCAGCGGCAGUGGGUCUGGGACAGAUUUCACCCUCACCAUCAGCAACCUCCAGGCUGAAGACGUGGCGACUUAUUACUGUCAGCAGACUUAUAGCUCUCCUCCCACAGUGCUGCAGCCUC